GGNUCAACCAUAGUGUGCUCUGGAAACUGUCUGACUNGAGUGCAGAAGGGGAGAGUGGAAUUCCAUGUGUAGCGGUGAAAUGCGUAGAUAUAUGGAGGAACACCAGUGGCGAAAGCGGCUCUCUGGUCUGUCACUGACGCUGAGGCUCGAAAGCGUGGGUAGCGAACAGGAUUAGAUACCCUGGUAGUCCACGCCGUAAACGAUGAGUGCUAGGUGUUAGGCCCUUUCCGGGGCUUAGUGCCGGAGCUAACGCAAUAAGCACUCCGCCUGGGGAGUACGACCGCAAGGUUGAAACUCAAAGGAAUUGACGGGGGCCCGCACAAGCGGUGGAGCAUGUGGUUUAAUCCGAAGCAACGCGAAGAACCUUACCAGGUCUUGACAUCCCGAUGCUAUUCUUAGAGAUAGGAAGUUACUUCGGUACAUCGGAGACAGGUGGUGCAUGGUUGUCGUCAGCUCGUGUCGUGAGAUGUUGGGUUAAGUCCCGCAACGAGCGCAACCCUUAUUGUUAGUUGCCAUCAUUAAGUUGGGCACUCUAGCGAGACUGCCGGUAAUAAACCGGAGGAAGGUGGGGAUGACGUCAAAUCAUCAUGCCCCUUAUGACCUGGGCUACACACGUGCUACAAUGGUCGGUACAACGAGUUGCGAGCCGGUGACGGCAAGCUAAUCUCUGAAAGCCGAUCUCAGUUCGGAUUGGAGGCUGCAACUCGCCUCCAUGAAGUCGGAAUCGCUAGUAAUCGCGGAUCAGCACGCCGCGGUGAAUACGUUCCCGGGCCUUGUACACACCGCCCGUCACACCACGAGAGUUUGUAACACCCGAAGUCGGUGAGGUANCCUUUUAGGG
rnacentral:rRNA from 1 species